CAGUCGAACGACUCUGGUAUUGAUUGGUGCUUGCAUCAUGAUUUACAUUUGAGUGAGUGGCGAACUGGUGAGUAACACGUGGGAAACCUGCCCAGAAGCGGGGGAUAACACCUGGAAACAGAUGCUAAUACCGCAUAACAACUUGGACCGCAUGGUCCGAGUUUGAAAGAUGGCUUCGGCUAUCACUUUUGGAUGGUCCCGCGGCGUAUUAGCUAGAUGGUGGGGUAACGGCUCACCAUGGCAAUGAUACGUAGCCGACCUGAGAGGGUAAUCGGCCACAUUGGGACUGAGACACGGCCCAAACUCCUACGGGAGGCAGCAGUAGGGAAUCUUCCACAAUGGACGAAAGUCUGAUGGAGCAACGCCGCGUGAGUGAAGAAGGGUUUCGGCUCGUAAAACUCUGUUGUUAAAGAAGAACAUAUCUGAGAGUAACUGUUCAGGUAUUGACGGUAUUUAACCAGAAAGCCACGGCUAACUACGUGCCAGCAGCCGCGGUAAUACGUAGGUGGCAAGCGUUGUCCGGAUUUAUUGGGCGUAAAGCGAGCGCAGGCGGUUUUUUAAGUCUGAUGUGAAAGCCUUCGGCUCAACCGAAGAAGUGCAUCGGAAACUGGGAAACUUGAGUGCAGAAGAGGACAGUGGAACUCCAUGUGUAGCGGUGAAAUGCGUAGAUAUAUGGAAGAACACCAGUGGCGAAGGCGGCUGUCUGGUCUGUAACUGACGCUGAGGCUCGAAAGUAUGGGUAGCAAACAGGAUUAGAUACCCUGGUAGUCCAUACCGUAAACGAUGAAUGCUAAGUGUUGGAGGGUUUCCGCCCUUCAGUGCUGCAGCUAACGCAUUAAGCAUUCCGCCUGGGGAGUACGGCCGCAAGGCUGAAACUCAAAGGAAUUGACGGGGGCCCGCACAAGCGGUGGAGCAUGUGGUUUAAUUCGAAGCUACGCGAAGAACCUUACCAGGUCUUGACAUACUAUGCAAAUCUAAGAGAUUAGACGUUCCCUUCGGGGACAUGGAUACAGGUGGUGCAUGGUUGUCGUCAGCUCGUGUCGUGAGAUGUUGGGUUAAGUCCCGCAACGAGCGCAACCCUUAUUAUCAGUUGCCAGCAUUAAGUUGGGCACUCUGGUGAGACUGCCGGUGACAAACCGGAGGAAGGUGGGGAUGACGUCAAAUCAUCAUGCCCCUUAUGACCUGGGCUACACACGUGCUACAAUGGAUGGUACAACGAGUUGCGAACUCGCGAGAGUAAGCUAAUCUCUUAAAGCCAUUCUCAGUUCGGAUUGUAGGCUGCAACUCGCCUACAUGAAGUCGGAAUCGCUAGUAAUCGCGGAUCAGCAUGCCGCGGUGAAUACGUUCCCGGGCCUUGUACACACCGCCCGUCACACCAUGAGAGU
rnacentral:rRNA from 1 species